rnacentral:lncRNA from 1 species
GCCCCGGGGCUCCGCGCCCCUGGCCCGCGCCCCGCGCCGCGCCUGGCCCCGAGCUCAGGCCCCGGCUCCCCGGCCCGGCCGCCCCGCGGGCCCCUCGCAGAAGUUUUGAUCGUCUUCGAAACAAAUCCCUCUGCUCCACCCCCUUGAAAAAUUGAUUUGGGAGUUGGGGAGCGAAGGCUUUCUUUUUUCUCCUCUGCCUUCUUUAUUAUUAAUAUUUUGUAAAGCUCCAGCGCUACGAGGAGUGGCCCCGAGCGAGGCCAGACUGCGCGGACGGCAGGGAGCGCGGCGGCUCCGCCAGGGGACGGCGCCGGCCGGGAGUGGCCGCUUGGGAACCCCCGACUGUCGGCCGAGGGUUGUCGAGAGGCUGAAACAUAAGUGCUCACCACAACACCCAGCACCUACCAGGCCUCUAUACAUAUUUGGUAAAUAAUUGGAUGGACACUUUGGGAGGGUGAGGCUGGUGGAUCACGAGGUCAGGAGUUCAAGACCAACCUGGCCAACAUGGUGAAACCCCAUCUUUACUAAAAAUACAAAAAUUAGCUGGGCAUGGUGGCACGUGUCUGUAAUCCUAGCUAUUUGGGAAGCUGAGGCAGGAGAACCACUUGAAUCCGGGAGGUGGAGGUUGCAGUGAACCGAAAUUGCACCACUGCACUCCAGCCUGGGUGACAGAGCAAGACUCCAUCUCAAGUAGUCAUAAUAAUUGGAUGGAAGAGGGGCCAUGCUACCAAGACUUGGGGAGAACACAGCUCCCUGCUUCUCCUUCAACCAGGGCUUGAGGGCAAACAGACCCCCUGGGCUCACCUGCGUACCUUCCUCCAGGGCAGGCGAAGCUUAGCUCCAGGAAGGUGUGAGCUGGGCGCAGGAGACCUCCAGGCAGUGCCUAGAGGCCCGGCACAGCCUUUGCCACUGGCCCUGCUCUAGAGCCUGGGCCUGCAAGUAGCUGCUCAGAGCUGGACCCUGGCGGGGACACAGAAUUAGGGGCGUUAGCCCAUUACAUCAAAAGCAACCACGUGGGAUUCUCAAGAUGUCACAUAUUUUAAAAUUUAUUUUCUUCAAGAAUCUUUGGCUUUCUUGCCAAAUGGAUGGGCUGGAUUAUUUCUGCAGCCUGUCUGGAACCGGGAGCUUCCCCAGCUGAGGACCACAGUGAGAGCAGAGAAGACCCAGGAUCGUAUUUGAAACCAUAAAAGCCACAUGAAGACACUAAGAAUAACUUGCAGAAAGACAUUUUCUAUGAAUUGAACACAGAGUCCCAAAACCCAGAAAGUUCCCUGGUCUCUAUCUCAUGGGCCCGUGUCUGGGGAAGGGGGCCCGAUGUGAGGCUGGGGCCAGUGCCCAUCCUAUUUGAUCUUUAUCUUAAAUCCACUUCAAAAUGCUGUGGCUUGGUGGAUUGAAGGUUCGCCCCUUCCUGUAAUUAUUUGGUGUCUGGUAAAGUUUUUAUGAGUGUUUGUGCAAAUACAUGCAUUUGAUGUGCAUUUGUUUUGGUUAGUACCGCUUUAUGUAGGAGGUGUGUGCAUCUCCUGUUGGCCCUCAGAAAAGAAAAGAAAAAUAAAACCGAGACUUCUGGACCAGGCAGAGGGGUGGAGCUGGGGCAAUUCCACUGCCAACCACAACCCCUGUGACGUCAGGGGCUCCUGGGCACCAGUGACGAUACAAGUUGGUAGCCUUUGGGUUUACCUUGUGAGGGUGAUCAGGGCUGGCAGUCGGCUGGUGAAAUCCAGAUUCUAGGAAGCCUUUUUUUGAAACAUAACUGGAUCUGCCUCUUUUGCUUUUUUUUUUUUUUUUUUUUAAGACACAGUCUCGCUCAGUCAACCAGGCUGGAGUGCAGUGGUGCGAUCUCAGCUCACUGCAACCUCCUCCUCCCAGGUUCAAGUGAUUCUCUCACCUCAGACUCCCAGGUAGCUGGGAUUAUAGGCACCUGCCACCAUGCUUGGCUAAUUUUUUUGUGUAUUUGGUAGAGACGGGGUUUCACCAUAUUGGUCAGGCUGGUCUCGAACACCUGACCCCAGGUGAUCCGCCUAUCUCUGCCUCCCAAAGUGCUGGGAUUACAGGUGUGAGCCACCACACCCGGCCUGAGUCUGCCUUUUGAUUACUGUCCUCUGGGCAUUCUUGGUAAAGUAAAAUGUAUAAUAAGUAAGGGUGAGUUUUUGGGGGGACUUUAUCAUGUAAGUGACAGAACUUGUCUGUUUCUCUAGAAUGUGAGCUCAGCAGAUCUGGCUAAGAGGAGCUGUGGCUGUCCAGCCUUCUCUGGAUAAGGCAGCAGGGUGGGGCAGGAUGGGUGUUCCUCCUGUGUGGCUGAGGAAGCACCUGCCCCCUAAGGGUGUCAGGGGCCAAGAGCACCCAUGCCUGCCUCACGUCCCCAGCCCAGAGUCAGAAGGCAGCCUGCAGGUGUGUUCAGCUUGGCCCCUAUAGGUAGUCUUUUCUCCCAGCACUGCAGCCUUGAUUUAUUUGCUUUAAAAUUAUUCUAGCAUUUUUAUUGAAGUAUAAUACACAGUAGAAAAGUGCACGAAGCAUAGGAUUACAAAGAGGACAUGCCCAUGCCACCAACACCCAGAUUAAGAGAGAGAAUGUUGCUGGCUUCCUGAAAUCCUUCAUGUUCCCUCCCAGGCACCACCCACCUCCCUCAAAGGAAACCACUAUCUUGGUUUUGCCUGUUGUGAAUUUUCUAUAAAUGGAAUCAUCCUAUAUACUCCUUACCAUACUUUAAUCAUGAGAUUUUGCGUGAAAAUUUUGCGUGGAUUUUUCUCCUGAAUAAUCAGAGGUCUGAUCACUUUGGACCCUCAUUCCAGCAGCAUGCUGACAAGCUGGACCUAAAUUUGUCCUUCCCACCUCCAUCCUAGGCAGGACACCCACUGGAUUCCGUUUGCCAGGGAGCAUUUGUCUUGGUCACUCCAGCUGUCAACCUUUGGCUCCUCCCCUGGUCUUCAGCCCAUCCCCAAAAGGAAUCACUGUAUGUACACUGGGGAACUGCAUCCAGAACCUUCUCUCACCCCACCCCUCCAUCUGCAUCCAGUACCCUUUGAGGCAGAGAUCAUGAGACCUUAAAGAGUCUCAUUCUGUCGCCAGGCAGGAGUGCAGCAGCAUGAUCUCGGCUCACUGCAACCUCUGCCUCCUGGGUUCAAGCGAUUCUCCUGCCUCAGCCUCCAGAGUAGCUGGGAUUACAGGCACCCGCCACCACGCCUGGAUAAUAUUUUGUAUGUAUUUUUAGUAGAGACAGGGUUUCACCAUGUUGUCCAGGCUGGUCUUGAACUCCCGGUCUCAAGCGAUCCGCCUGCCUCAGCCUCCCAAAGUGCUGGAAUUACAGAUGAGAGCCACCGUACCCGGCCUGAAAUAUUGCCUUUUCUUGCAGUUUCUGAAACAAUUUAAUUUCAAACCCUUCAGCUGCAUUUUUUUGUUAUUAUCUUUUAAUUUUGGUGAAGUAUACAUAACAUGAAAUUUACCGUCUUCACCAUUCGUAUGUGUACAGUUCAGUGACAGUAAGUACAUUCCCGUUGUUAUACAACCAUCACCACUAUUUGUCUCCAGUACUCUUUUCAUUUUGUAAAACAAACUGUAUGCAUUAAAGGAUAACUCCCCAGUGCCCUCCCCUGACCUAGUCCCUGGCAGCCACCGUUCUGCUUUUUCUGUCUCUGCAUUUGACUACUCUUAGGUGCCUCAUGGAGGUGGAAUUGUACAUAUUUGUGCAUGUGUGACUGGCUUAUUUCACCUAACAUAAUGUCUUCCAGGGUCAUCCAUGUUGUAGCAUGUAUCAGAAUUUACCUCCUUUUUAAGGCUGAAUAAUAGUGUAUUAUGUGUAUAUAGCUCACAUUUUGUUUAUCCAUUCAUCUGACAGUGGACUCUUGAGUUGCUUCCGUUGCUUCGUUAUUGUGAAUAAUGCUGCAGUGAACAUGGGUGUGCAAAUACCUCUUUGAGUCCCUGCCAUCAGUUAUCUUGUGUAUAUACCCAGAAGUGGUUUGCUAGACCUAUAGUAAUUCAAUUUUUAAGUUUUUUAAGUAAACUGCCGUACUGUUUUCCAUAGUGGUUGCACCAUUUUGUAUUCCUUUCAAUGGUGCACAGGGUUCCAAUUUCUCCACAUUCUGUUUUUUGUUUGUUUGUUUGUUUGUUUUUGAUAGUAGCCAUCCUAGUGGGUAUGAGGUGGUAUCUCAUUGUGGUUUUGAUUUGCAUUUCCCUAAUGAUUAGUGAAGUUGAACAUCUUUUUUAUGUUCUUAUUGGCCAUUUGUAUAUCUUCUUUGGAAGCAUAUCUAUCCAAGCCCUUUCCCCAUUCUUUAUUUAUUUAUUUAUUUAUUUAUUUAUUUAUUUUGAGAUGGAGCCCUGCUCAGUUGCCCAGACUGGAGGGCAGUGGCACGAUCUCGGCUCACUGCAACCUCUGCCUCCCAGGUUCAAGCCAAUUCUCCUGCCUCAGCCUCCGGAGUAGCUGGGAUUACAACUGUGCACCACCACGUCCGGCUAAUUUUUGUAUUUUCGUGGAGACGGGGUUUUACCAUGUUGGCCAGGCUGGUCUCGAACUCCUGACCUCAGGUGAUCUGCCCACCUCAGCCUCCCAAAGUGCUGGGAUUGCAGGCAUGAACCACCGUGCCUGGCCCCCUUUCUCCAUUCUUUAAUUGGGUUGUUUGUUUUUUUGUGAUUGAGUUGUAGGAGUUCUUUAUAUAUUCUGGAUAUUAACUCCUCAUCACAUAUAUGGUUUGCCAAUGUUUUCUCCCAUUUCACGGGUUGCCAUUUCACUUUGUUGACUGUAUCUUUUGAUGCACAGAAAUUUUACAUUUUGACAAAGUCCAAUUUAUUUUUUCGUUUGUUGCUUGUGCUCUACCUACUGCGUGCAUGUGUGUGUCUGUGUAACAGGGUCUUACUCUGUCUCCCAGGCUUGAGUGCAGUUGUGCAAUCUUGGCUCACUGCAGCCUUGAUCUCCUGGGCUCAGCAAUCAUCCCACCUCAGCCUCCAGAGUAGCUGGGACUACAGGCGAGUGCCACCACACUGGCUAAUUUUUGUAUUUUUAGUUGAGACAGAGUGUUGUCAUGUUGCCCAGUCUGGUCUUGAACUUCUGGGCUCAAGCAAUCUGCUGGCUUCAUCCUCCCAAAGCGCUGGGAUUACAGGUGUGAGUCACCUUGCUCAGUCUCUACCUGCAUUUUUGAAUCUGUGUCCUUUGUCAUUACCUGGCUACUUUUUGAGACGUCCAUCAUUUUCUAGCGUACCUGUCUCCAGUUCUCUAAGUUGUUUGUUACAAAUUCUUACACGGUGCUAAAAUUAUCCCAAGCCAAAAAUAACUGUUUGCUGAACAUUAGGCUACUAGGUUACUUUUAUUCUUCUGGUAAGUAUAAAUUCAUACUCUGCACACCUUUUUUAUUGUGUUACAAAAUGGGCAGUAAAAGGCUUGUUUGCAACAAUAUCCAUCCCCUGUGUGCAUGAGACCACACUCCCUGGAGAAAUUCUAAAGCUACAACAAAAUUACCUGAUCUUUCUUUUAGCACAUUUGUCAGGUUACUGCCAUUAGCAUCCAAAAUGAGCAUCUAGUGAGGCCAUUUCAGGCUAAUGCGUCUUUCCCAAAUAGCAUUCUAUUGGUCAAAAUGAAGUAAUUGGGAAUGUGUCCCAUGAUAUAGCAUACUCUCUAAGCGGUCAAAUCUAAGGAAUAAUUUUUGGGGAAAAGCCCUGCUUUAUAUUCUGGCUAGGCCUAACAACGAUAACAAUAACAGCAGUAGAAAUAACCACCAUAUGUUGGGUAUCACUCUAGCCUGGCGCUGAGCUCAGUGCUUCACACAUACUCUCACACUGAAUCCACAAAACAGCCUGAUCGGAAGAUUCUCAUUGAUAUGGUUUGGCUGUCUGUCCCCUCCCAAAUCUCAUCUCCAGUUGUAAUCCCCACGGGUCGAGUGAGGGGCCUGUAAUCCCUACGUGUCGAGGGAGGGAGGUGAUUGGAUCAUGGGGGCAGUUUCCCCCAUGCUGUUCUCAUGAUAGUGAGUGAGUUAUCAGGAGAUCUGAUGGUUUUAUACGUGUUUGGAAGUUCCUUCCUCACUCUUCUCUCUCCUGCCGCCUUGUGGUGAAGGUGCCUGCCUCCCCUUCGCCUUCCACCAUGAUUGUAAGUUUCCUGAGGCCUCCUCAGCCAUAAGGAACUGUGCGUCAAUUAAACCUCUUUAGUUUAAAAAUUAUCCAGUCUCAGGUAUUUGUUUAUAGCAGUGUGAAAACAGACUAAUACACUCAUACUGUUCCCAAUCUACAAGUGGGGAAAUUGAGGCUCAGGCAGGUAAAGGCACAUGCCCACCAGCCACACAGGUUCUGAUGGGUAGAUCUGGAAUUUGAACCCAUGUCUCUCAGAGCCCAGGCUCUUGUUUGUUUGUUUGUUUGUUUGUUUAUUUUUGAGACGGAGUCUUGCUCUGUCACCUAGGCUGGAGUGCGGUGGCGUGAUCUUGGCUCACUACAACCUCUGCCUCCCAGGUUCAAGCGAUUCUCCUGCCUUAGCCUCCUGAGUAGCUGGGAUUACAGGUGCCCAUCACCAUGCCCGGCUAAUUUUUGUAUUUUUAGUAGAGACGGGUUUUUACCAUGUUGGCCAGGCUUGUCUUGAAUGCCUGACCUCAGGUGAUCCACCUGCCUUAGCCUCCUAAAGUGCUGGGAUUACAGGCAUGAGCCACUGUGCCUGGCCUAUUUAUUUAUUUAUUUAUUUUUAUGGACGUGGAGUCUUGCUGUGUUGCCCAGGCUGGCCUUGAAUUCCUGGGCUCAAGUGAUCCUCUCGCCUAAGCCUCCCAAGUAGCAAGCUUUUAAUCAUCACAUGACUCUGCUUUUAUCCACAUGAUUUAUGCCUGCUGUGAGUGCCCUAGCACCGCACGUGCCCCAGAGAGAAACCUGCCCAGGUAGCUGGGUUUGCAGUGCUCCUACCUUGAACCUGCCAAGUCAGCUGCAGUGCUGGGGCCCAGACCCAGCUUUGUUCCCUCUGCCCCAUGGUUGGUGGUCCUUCCUGGGAGGCAGGCUGAUCCAAUGAAGGCACAUCGUAUGUGGCUCCUCCUCACCCCUUAUCAGGCAGUUUAGAACCAACUCACCAACAUACUUGGAAGGAAGGAAAGACUACUGGGAAGAAAGCUGCCACUCACUCUGGCCACAUGUUACACACAAUGGUGACAACAUAAAAACACCUGAGGCACAAGAAAUCCUGGUUGCCUCUGCUUUUGUUUUGGAAAAGGAGCUUUCCAAAAUGUUUAUUUCUGGUAAGCUUUUUUUUUUUUUAUCAUGGAAUAUUUCAAACAUAUAUAACAGUAGAAUAAUGUACCAGUUACUCAGCCUCAGAGUGACAACUCAUGCCCAAUCUUGUUUCCUCUACUUCCCACCCCAAUACCCUUAUCUCAUUGGGUUAUUUUAAAGCAAAUCCUAGACACCAUAACGUUUCAACCAUGACUAUUUUGGUAUAUAUUUCUAAAAGAUAAGGGAAUCUUCAAAAGGUUAUAAUAGCCAGAAUGCCAUUAUCACUCCUGGAAAAAUUAUCAUCAAAUUGAUCUAGUCAGCGCCUACAAUUUCCCUGAUUGUCUCCUACAUGUUUUGUACAUCUUAUUAAAAAGGCCAUGUGUGUUUUAAGUCUCUUUUAAUCUAUAGUUUCUCUCUCCCCACAUCUCUGUCUCUGUCUCUCCACCUCUCCACUCUUGCUGUUUAUUAAUAUCUGUGGAAGAAACCCAUUGUUUGUCCAGCAGCAUUUCCCUCAAUCUGGAUUUUGCUGCUUGUAUUCCUGUGGGGUCCUUUAACAUGUUCCUCUGUCUUCGGAAUUUCUUGUAAUUAGAUCUAGAGGCUUGAUCAGGUUCAGGUUUGAUUUUUGGCAGCAAUACUUCACAGGAGGUAUCGCGCUGUGUCCUUUUGUCAGGAGGCCCAUAAUGUCUUGUGAGCUCUUUUUUUGGGUGAAGUUUGUAGCUGUGGAUGUUCACUGCCUAGAUUCACUAUCUCAUUAAGGCUUGCAAAAUGAUGAUGCUUUUUUUUUGUUUAGCCAGGGUUUUGUUCUGUCACCUUGGCUGGAAUGCAGUGUGGGAUCUUGGCUCACUGCAGCCUUAAUCUCCUGGGCUCAAGUGAUCCUCUCACCUCAGCCUCCCAAGUAGCUGGGACUACAGGCAUGUGCCACCACACCCAGCUAAUUUGGUGUUCUAAUUCUAUCUUCCUUCUUCAUUUAUUAGCUGGAAUACUUGAAAAAGGGCAUCUCCUCAUUAACUCUUUAGUUACCCCAAGGCGCAGUAUGCCCUCUUUCAGUAUAUACACUAUAGACAGUGCAAGACUUGGCUCUUUAAUGGCUUUCAAAUAAUGAGUUUGUUUCCUAGCAUCCUGAGAGGUUUUUUUUUAAAAUUGAUUUUUAAAAAAGUAUCAUUAUGGGGCCGAGCUUGGUGAUUUACACCUGUAAUCUCAGCACUUUGGGAGGCUGAGGUGGGAGGAUCACUUGAGCCCAGGAGUUCAGGACCAGCCUGGGCUGGCAAGAACCUGUCUCUACAGAAAAUACAAAAAUUAGCCAUGGAGCACAUACCUGUAGUCCCAGCUACUUGGGGAGCUGAGGUAGGAGGAUUACUUGAGCCCAGAGGUCCAGGCUGCAGUGAGCCAAAAUCGCGCCACUGCACUCCAGCCUGGGCAACAGAAUGAGACCCCACCCCUCAACCUCUCUCAAAAAAACAGUAUCAUUAUGAAUAUAGGGACUGAAUGCUAUUUGAUGUGUUUCAGUCCCCUGUGAUUCUUAUUCUUAUUGCUGUUCAAAUGAUCCUAUUCAGCCAGAGAGAACCUCUUUGGAUUGGUUCCUGAUGUCUUUGACCCCAGUUGGCUUUGAUGGCUUCCUUGCUUUCUGGAACAGCAAGGUGCCCCAGACUCAUCUUGUACACUUGCUGCUCCAAACCUGGAAUCAGCCAUCUGUCUAAGGAGUCCUGGUUCCUUUGAGUGAGGAAUAUUAUUUAGAAAGCACGAUCUUGUUUUAUGCAAUGCUCAUUACUAUUGGGUUGGUCAUUGUUUCUGGGCAUUUUGAGUGAAUAGAGCUCAGAAAUACAUUUUUUAAAAGGUAAAAUGCAUCACAAAUUAUGAUUACCAAAACUUGGAAGCAGCAAGAUGUUCUUCAGUAGGUGACUGGGUAAACAAACUAUGGUACAUCCAGACAAUGGAAUAUUAUGCAGCGCUUAAAAGGAAGAGUUACCAAGCAAUGAAAAGACACAGGAGAACCUUAAAUGCAUAUUGUUGGGUGGAAGAAGCCAGUCUGUAAAGGCUACACAGAUGAUUCUAACUAUACAAAAAGGCAACACUAUCAAGACAGUAAAAGAUCCAUAGAUUCCAAGUGUUUGGGGGAGGGAGGGCUGGACAGGGGGCACACAGGAUUAGUGAAACUACUCUGUAUGAUAUUAUAAUAGUAGAUAUAUGUCAUUAUACAUUUGUUCCAACCCAUAGAAUGUAAAUCAAGAGUGAAUUUGAAUGUAAACUGUGGACUUUAGUCAAUGUCUCAUUAUUGAUGUAUCAGUUGUAACAAAUGUAUGCCAUUAUGCAAUGUCACUGGUCUGAUUUUUAAAAAAGAGCCCUCCAUUAAUGAAAGAUGUUCACAACAGGGGAAACUGGGAGGGGGUUGGGGAGAUGAAGGGAUAUACGGGAACUCUCUAUUUUCUGCUGAAUUUUUCUGUAAACCUGAAACUGCUAAAAAAAUAAAGUCUACUAAUGUGCUUAAAAAAUCAUGAGUUCAUAUUGACACUUCUAAUUUAAAUUCAGGAUCACCAUGUUUUUACUUAGCCUUGUCUGUUCUUUCUCCCAUGAGAAAUGCCCUUUCUUUUCAGUUCCCAGUGAAAGAUAAACUCAUCUGUUGAGUCUGACCCACUUCACACUCUCAGAUAAGAAUGCCAGUACUAUCAUGUCUUAGUCCAUCUGGGCAGCUGUAACAAAAUACCUUAGACUGGAUAAUUUGUAAAUAAUAAAAACUUAUUGCUCAAGUUCUGGAGGCUGGAAGUCCAAGAUCAAGGCCCAGCAGAUUUGGUGUCUGGUGAGGG